AACAGAAGAAAAAUCAAUUCCAAUACAUUCAGUUAUUGGUUCCAGAAUGUUAAGUUGUCAUCGAUACGGCCACAAAGACACACAAGGUGCUCACAAGAACACACAAAACCACAACAGAGGCAAGAGAUGACCACAAAGGAACAGGAAAGACAAAGACAUAAAUGACCUAAAAGAGACACCCAAAGCAACCACAAGGUGACACAAAACAGCCACAAGGUGACGCAAAGCGGCCACAAGGUGACGCAAAGCGGCCACAAGGUGACGCAAAGCGGCCACAAGGUGACACAAAGCGGCCACAAGGUGACGCAAAGCGGCCACAAGGUGACACAAAGCGACCACAAGGUGACACAAAGCGACCACAAGGUGACACAAAGCGACCACAAGGUGACACAAAGUGACACAAAACAGGCACAAGGUGACGCAAAGCGGCCACAAGGUGACACAAAGUGACACAAAACAGGCACAAGGUGACACAAAGCGACCACAAGGUGACACAAAGUGACACAAAACAGGCACAAGGUGACACAAAGCGACCACAAGGUGACACAAAGCGACCACAAGGUGACACAAAGUGACACAAAACAGGCACAAGGUGACACAAAGCGACCACAAGGUGACACAAAGCGGCCACAAGGUGACACAAAGUGACACAAAACAGGCACAAGGUGACACAAAGCGACCACAAGGUGACACAAAGCGACCACAAGGUGACACAAAGCGACCACAAGGUGACACAAAGUGACACAAAACAGGCACAAGGUGACGCAAAGCGGCCACAAGGUGACACAAAGUGACACAAAACAGGCACAAGGUGACACAAAGCGACCACAAGGUGACACAAAGUGACGCAAAGCGGCCACAAGGUGACACAAAGCGGCCACAAGGUGACACAAAGCGACCACAAGGUGACACAAAGUGACACAAAACAGGCACAAGGUGACGCAAAGCGGCCACAAGGUGACACAAAGUGACACAAAACAGGCACAAGGUGACACAAAGCGACCACAAGGUGACACAAAGUGACACAAAACAGGCACAAGGUGACGCAAAGCGGCCACAAGGUGACACAAAACAGGCACAAGGUGACGCAAAGCAGCCACAAGGUGACACAAAACAACCCCAAAAACACACAAAACAACCACACUUUCUCUGAGCUGCUCCUUUGUUUGUG